ACUUGAUGAGUACUAAAGUGGAAUUACUAGUAAUUUAUUGAAAUGAUGAAACAUCUCCUGCUGGAUCCCUGGUAAUUAAGAAACAUCAAUUAGUAUUAGUUUGAUAGAAACAUCACUAAUCAAUACUUGUAAUUAGAAAUUAAACAGAGGGCCGGACAAAUGGA